GAGACAGGUGGUGCAUGGUUGUCGUCAGCUCGUGUCGUGAGAUGUUGGGUUAAGUCCCGCAACGAGCGCAACCCUUAUCUUUAGUAGCCAGCAUUUAAGGUGGGCACUCUAGAGAGACUGCCAGGGACAACCUGGAGGAAGGUGGGGAUGACGUCAAAUCAUCAUGCCCCUUAUGGSCAGGGCUACACACGUGCUACAAUGGCGUAAACAAAGGGAAGCGAGCCCGCGAGGGGGAGCAAAUCUCAAAAAUAACGUCUCAGUUCGGAUUGUAGUCUGCAACUCGACUACAUGAAGCUGGAAUCGCUAGUAAUCGCGAAUCAGAAUGUCGCGGUGAAUACGUUCCCGGGUCUUGUACACACCG
rnacentral:rRNA from 1 species